rnacentral:rRNA from 1 species
CUGGCGGCGCGCUUCACACAUGCAAGUCAAACGAGAAAGCGGGAGCAAUCUCGCAAGUACAGUGGCGUACUGUUCCGUAACACGUGGAUCAUCUGCCCUGGAGUGGGGAAUAACGCUGGGAAACCGGCGCUAAUACCGCAUAUUCCCGAGAGGGGAAAGCAGCAAUGCGCUCGAGGAGGAGUCCGCGGCCGAUUAGCUAGUUGGCAGGGUAAAAGCCUACCAAGGCUGUGAUCGGUAGCCGGCCUGAGAGGGCACACGGCCACACUGGCACUGAAACACGGGCCAGACUCCUACGGGAGGCAGCAGUGGG